GGCUGGUCUGGGUGCAGUGGUAUUUAGAACUAAUUGAUCACAACCCGUUACAGAUUCCUUUGUUCCUUCUCCGCUCUCACUGCUUCACUUGACUUGCCUAAA
rnacentral:Y_RNA from 1 species